UACGGAGGGUGCGAGCGUUGUCCGGAAUCACUAGGCGUAAAGCGCAGGUAGGCGGCUCGGUAAGUCUUUUGUGAAAGCUCCUGGCUCAACUGGGAGAGGUCAAAGGAAACUACCGGGCUAGAGUUUGGUAGGGGAUACUGGAAUUCCCGGUGUAGCGGUGAAAUGCGUAGAUAUCGGGAGGAAUACCUAUGGCGAAAGCAGGUAUCUGGGCCACAACUGACGCUGAGCUGCGAAAGCUAGGGGAGCAAACAGG
rnacentral:rRNA from 1 species